rnacentral:rRNA from 1 species
AGGACGAACGCUGGCGGCGUGCCUAAUACAUGCAAGUCGAACGAGACUUUCCUCGGUAGUAAUACCUUUGAUUGUCUAGUGGCGAACGGGUGAGUAACACGUGAGAAACCUGCCCUGAAGACGGGGAUAACAGGAGGAAACUUCUGCUAAUACCCGAUACCCCCACCGGAUCGCAUGGUCUGGUGAGGAAAUGGAUUCCGCUUCAGGAGGGUCUCGCGGCCUAUCAGCUUGUUGGUGAGGUAAUGGCUUACCAAGGCUUGGACGGGUAGCUGGUCUGAGAGGACGAUCAGCCACACUGGGACUGAGACACGGCCCAGACUCUACGGGAGGCAGCAGUAAGGAAUAUUGCGCAAUGGGCGAAAGCCUGACGCAGCAACGCCGCGUGCGGGAUGAAAGGCCCCUCGGGUUGUAAACCGCUUUCGAGUAGGAAGAAAAUGACGGUACCCUACAGAAGAACGCCCGGCAACUACGUGCCAAGCAGCCGC